rnacentral:lncRNA from 1 species
GGGAAAGGUGAGCUCAACAAACUCUCACCCACUGCUCCAAAGUGACUUGACAUUUCCAUGUUGGUUGGUAGAGCUAGUCAUUUACAUUGGAUACCUUGUGAAAAGAAGCGGGGUGACACAGUGCCUGUAAUUCGCCUCUACCGCUGCAUGCCUAAAAAGGACGCGAACAUGAAGAUGCCCACAUAGAUACACAUGUUCGGAAGGAAACAGAAUCUACCUACACCAGCACCACCUCCUUCUGAAAUCUACAACAACCAUUAUUGCCCAUAUAAAGACCCCACCACUUCUCACCAACAUGAUACUACAUCGUAUCGCAUCAAUUUCACAAACCAACAUGAUGAUACUACCUCAUAGCACUACCACGUCCACCUUCUGCAUUCCGACUUCCCAAUCUCUGGCACUUUUUCGCAUAGGAAACAGGAGACUAUCGUAGUGGGAUCCACUGACUAAUUUCACCUCGUAUCUGCUUGAAGCUAAAGCCUUCAUCCUCUACAUACUUUUUGGGAUAAAAUAAAAUCAUCCUAUGGCAAGGGAACCGGUCGACACCCAUAGUUGAAUCAUGAAUGGUCUAUUUUGGAGUGGUGCAACACCACUUCAAAAUGUUGCACCACCAUGGAAAUCUACAUCAACCAAAGGUAAAGAUGCAUUGAAGAUAACUACCUCGCGUCAUAUGGGUGAACCUCGAUGCUAAUGCUACAACCAAUCCCCGUUCCAAACACACUCCAAACGCAUAAACAAAAUCCAAGCUUCCAGCCCAAGUCGUUGAAAUUUACCCUUCGCUAGCAUUAUACUGACGAAGUCUUACCCACAGAUUGCAGCAAGUAGACGAAUCAAAUCUAAAAAGCAGUAGACAUUAUAAGGAGGCAGUGUCAGUGGCAGACAACACAAACAACCAGGAAAUU